rnacentral:rRNA from 1 species
AGAGUUUGAUCCUGGCUCAGGACGAACGCUGGCGGCGCGCCUAACACAUGCAAGUCGAACGAGCGAGAGAGAGCUUGCUUUCUCGAGCGAGUGGCGAACGGGUGAGUAACGCGUGAGGAACCUGCCUCAAAGAGGGGGACAACAGUUGGAAACGACUGCUAAUACCGCAUAAGCCCACGACCCGGCAUCGGGUAGAGGGAAAAGGAGCAAUCCGCUUUGAGAUGGCCUCGCGUCCGAUUAGCUAGUUGGUGAGGUAACGGCCCACCAAGGCGACGAUCGGUAGCCGGACUGAGAGGUUGAACGGCCACAUUGGGACUGAGACACGGCCCAGACUCCUACGGGAGGCAGCAGUGGGGAAUAUUGCACAAUGGGGGAAACCCUGAUGCAGCGACGCCGCGUGGAGGAAGAAGGUCUUCGGAUUGUAAACUCCUGUUGUUGAGGAAGAUAAUGACGGUACUCAACAAGGAAGUGACGGCUAACUACGUGCCAGCAGCCGCGGUAAAACGUAGGUCACAAGCGUUGUCCGGAAUUACUGGGUGUAAAGGGAGCGCAGGCGGGAAGACAAGUUGGAAGUGAAAUCCAUGGGCUCAACCCAUGAACUGCUUUCAAAACUGUUUUUCUUGAGUAGUGCAGAGGUAGGCGGAAUUCCCGGUGUAGCGGUGGAAUGCGUAGAUAUCGGGAGGAACACCAGUGGCGAAGGCGGCCUACUGGGCACCAACUGACGCUGAGGCUCGAAAGUGUGGGUAGCAAACAGGAUUAGAUACCCUGGUAGUCCACACCGUAAACGAUGAUUACUAGGUGUUGGAGGAUUGACCCCUUCAGUGCCGCAGUUAACACAAUAAGUAAUCCACCUGGGGAGUACGACCGCAAGGUUGAAACUCAAAGGAAUUGACGGGGGCCCGCACAAGCAGUGGAGUAUGUGGUUUAAUUCGACGCAACGCGAAGAACCUUACCAAGUCUUGACAUCCCUUGACGAUGCUGGAAACAGUAUUUCUCUUCGGAGCAAGGAGACAGGUGGUGCAUGGUUGUCGUCAGCUCGUGUCGUGAGAUGUUGGGUUAAGUCCCGCAACGAGCGCAACCCUUAUGGUCAGUUACUACGCAAGAGGACGGGCACUCUAGGGAGACUGCCAGGGAUAACCUGGAGGAAGGUGGGGAUGACGUCAAAUCAUCAUGCCCCUUAUGACUUGGGCUACACACGUACUACAAUGGCGUUAAACAAAGAGAAGCAAGAC